rnacentral:rRNA from 1 species
UGGGGAAUAUUGCACAAUGGGCGAAAGCCUGAUGCAGCAACGCCGCGUGAGUGAUGAAGGCCUUCGGGUUGUAAAGCUCUGUCUUUUGGGACGAUAAUGACGGUACCAAAGGAGGAAGCCACGGCUAACUACGUGCCAGCAGCCGCGGUAAUACGUAGGUGGCAAGCGUUGUCCGGAUUUACUGGGCGUAAAGGAUGCGUAGGCGGAUUUUUAAGUGAGAUGUGAAAUACCCGGGCUUAACUUGGGUGCUGCAUUUCAAACUGGGAAUCUAGAGUGCGGGAGAGGAGAAUGGAAUUCCUAGUGUAGCGGUGAAAGUGCGUAGAGAUUAGGAAGAACACCAGUGGCGAAGGCGAUUCUCUGGACCGUAACUGACGCUGAGGCAUGAAAGCGUGGGUAGCAAACAGAUAGAUACCCUGGUAGUCCACGCCGUAAACGAUGAGUACUAGGUGUAGGAGGUAUCGACCCCUUCUGUGCCGCAGUUAACACAAUCAAGUACUCCGCCUGGGAAGUACGAUCGCAAGAUU